CUACGUGCCAGCAGCCGCGGUAAUACGUAUGUCACAAGCGUUAUCCGGAUUUAUUGGGCGUAAAGCGCGUCUAGGUGGUUAUGUAAGUCUGAUGUGAAAAUGCAGGGCUCAACUCUGUAUUGCGUUGGAAACUGCAUGACUAGAGUACUGGAGAGGUAAGCGGAACUACAAGUGUAGAGGUGAAAUUCGUAGAUAUUUGUAGGAAUGCCGAUGGGGAAGCCAGCUUACUGGACAGAUACUGACGCUAAAGCGCGAAAGCGUGGGUAGCAAACAGGAUUAGAUACCCUGGUAGUCCACGCCGUAAACGAUGAUUACUAGGUGUUGGGGGUCGAACCUCAGCGCCCAAGCUAACGCGAUAAGUAAUCCGCCUGGGGAGUACGUACGCAAGUAUGAAACUCAAAGGAAUUGACGGGGGCCCGCACAAGCGGAGGAACAUGUGGUUUAAUUCGAUGAUACGCGAGGAACCUUACCCGGGAUUGAA
rnacentral:rRNA from 1 species